AUUGAACGCUGGCGGCAUGCCUUACACAUGCAAGUCGAACGGUAACGGGCCUUCGGGUGCCGACGAGUGGCGAACGGGUGAGUAAUGUAUCGGAACGUACCUUUCAGUGGGGGAUAACGUAGCGAAAGUUACGCUAAUACCGCAUAUUCUGUGAGCAGGAAAGCAGGGGAUCGCAAGACCUUGCGCUGAUUGAGCGGCCGAUCUCAGAUUAGCUAGUUGGUGAGGUAAAGGCUCACCAAGGCGACGAUCUGUAGCGGGUCUGAGAGGAUGAUCCGCCACACUGGAACUGAGACACGGUCCAGACUCCUACGGGAGGCAGCAGUGGGGAAUUUUGGGACAAUGGGGGCAACCCUGAUCCAGCCAUGCCGCGUGAGUGAAGAAGGCC
rnacentral:rRNA from 1 species